rnacentral:rRNA from 1 species
UACAGAGGUCUCGAGCGUUAAUCGGAGUCACUGGGCUUAAAGGGUGCGUAGGCUGGUCCGCAAGUGCUUUGUGAAAUCCCACGGCUCAACCGUGGAAUUGCUUGGCAGACUGCGGGCCUUGAGGUCGGUAGGGGCCGCCGGAACUCUAGGUGGAGCGGUGAAAUGCGUAGAUAUCUAGAGGAACGCCAAAGGUGAAGACAGGCGGCUGGGCCGAUUCUGACGCUGAGGCACGAAAGCGUGGGGAGCGAACGGG